rnacentral:rRNA from 1 species
AGCGAACGCUGGCGGCAGGCUUAACACAUGCAAGUCGAGCGGGCAUAGCAAUAUGUCAGCGGCAGACGGGUGAGUAACGCGUGGGAACGUACCUUUUGGUUCGGAACAACUGAGGGAAACUUCAGCUAAUACCGGAUAAGCCCUUACGGGGAAAGAUUUAUCGCCGAAAGAUCGGCCCGCGUCUGAUUAGCUAGUUGGCGAGGUAAUGGCUCACCAAGGCGACGAUCAGUAGCUGGUCUGAGAGGAUGAUCAGCCACAUUGGGACUGAGACACGGCCCAAACUCCUACGGGAGGCAGCAGUGGGGAAUAUUGGACAAUGGGCGCAAGCCUGAUCCAGCCAUGCCGCGUGAGUGAUGAAGGCCCUAGGGUUGUAAAGCUCUUUUGUGCGGGAAGAUAAUGACGGUACCGCAAGAAUAAGCCCCGGCUAACUUCGUG